GUUUCCUCCAGAGUCCGACUGGUGUGAGGAGGACAACGGUGGCUGUGAGCAGAUCUGCACCAGUAAGGGAACUGGGCCCAUCUGCAGCUGUGUGACUGGGAUGCUGCAGCCUGAUGGGAAAAGCUGCCGCACUCUGAGCUCGUCCUGUAAGGUCGCCCCUGCUCUGCCUCUGCUGAGCGCCAGCGCCGUAAUCUCCAUCAUCCUCACCCACUUUAACUCCUUCGUCGUCUCCUAACAGCCACAGCAGCCAAACGCCAAACAGAAAAGACUUGAAGACGAGACUGGAAUUUGAAUUUCUGAGUGCAGAUGUGAAAAUAGCUCUUUGUAGAACGCUGUAAAGCUUCUGUUCUUUAGAUUCAUCAAGAUUUCUAAUUUAAAGUGUGUAGAGUUUGGGUUUUUUUAAAUGCUUCUUUUUUUUUUUUUUUUUAAAGUUUCUGAUUGUUUUCCUUUUUUAUGGAAGUAUUGUGUUAACAAUAAUCACCACCAGAUGGCGCCAAAGAAGCAAAUAUCUUCAAAUCUAAACAGUGGAAGGAUUGAGGUGGAUUAAAUGUGAAAGUCAGGGAGAGAUUGUGAUUAAAUUAUUAUAAACUACAUUUCUUGGUGAAAUAAAAUAUGAUUGGAUAGUUUGACAGUCGGAACUGUAAGAAUAAAAUCUGAAACUGGCCUUUUUAAGCGUUACCUCUGGCAUAACAGCCGCAUCUAAAAUAAACACUCAUUGAAUUGAGUCACAGAAUGA